GCCAGGUGUGGUGGUGCACACCUGUAGUCCCAGCUACUCCGGAGGCUGAAGUGGGAGGAUUGCUUGAGCCUGGGAGGUGGAGGCUGCAGUGAGCCACGAUCACGCCACUGCACUCCAGCUUGGGUGACAGAGCAAGACCCAUCUCAGAAAAUGAAAGAAGCCAGGCAUGGUAGUGCAUGCCUACAGUCCCAGUAACUCAGGAUUGCGUGAGACCAAGAAUUUGAGGCUGUAGCGCACCAUGAGGGCACCUGUGAAUAGCCAUUGUACUUCAUCCUGGGCAACAUAGUGGGACCCCAUCUCU
rnacentral:sRNA from 1 species